AAAAGUCCAUCUCUUGGGCUUGUUCACAAUUAUUUCCUUCCAGCCUUGGUUUUUGGAAUGCUUUGCUGCGUUUCUUUUGAGUGGGCAGAUGGCAGGAUGCUGGGGGUGUAAAACAGCUAUGAAAAACAAGAUGAUUCCGACAGAAGGAGUAUGUACAGCCCCUGCUGGACCAUCCCAAUAUUAAUCAGGAGAACUGGCCUUUUGUUUUUGUUUUCGUUUUUUCCCCUGGGAUCUUUAAAGUUUGCGUGCCUUCUCUCUGCUUUCCAAAAAAAAAAAAAGGAUAAUACGUAAAUGCACCACUUUAAGGGCUUCAGCUGGGAAAGCUGGUGUCAUUUUUGGGAUUCAGUUUAUUGCGAGGAUGAGCUCGAGCUGAAGGACCUUAGAGCAAGACCCGUGGCUUCGGGGAGGAACGCGAAAAUGGAGCUUCGGGAGAGAAAAGCCGACGGCGGGUCACCAGCGCUGGUGCCCGUCCGUGGUGCAGGAGCCGUGCCUGAAAGAGAUAAUUUCAAGUUGAGCUGUGGUUUACCGCGGUGUCCUCGUGAUCGGCUGAGUGGUCAGAUGUCAGGGGUGACUGAAAAUAAGUUCAUUUUCCCACAGUGAGAGAAAAAAGAAGAAGGAGGGGGAAAAAAAAAAGGAACAGCCCUGCCCGUAUGAAACAAAUACUUGCACAUUUCAGAGUCUGGCCGGAGCAGGCUUGAACGUGCACCAUCACGCAUGUGACUUUUGUGAAGCCAGCCGGGGAAGAAACGACAAUUAUUGCCCUGGAUUAGCCUAACACGUUACCCCUCCCCCGCCACCCCCGUUGAGCACAGACGGUCUUUCACGGGGCGAUCGCUGCGCCCCACUGUUGGGCCAACUCGGAAGAUCUUUGGGGAAACGAGGGUGGCGCGUCUAUGUCAUUAUGUCGCCGGUGGGGAUAAGGGAAGGACGGGUGGAGCGUCUGGUGAUCCCACCCCGCGAUCCUACCCGACCCUCUGGUGCCUCCGGGCUUUAUGAAGGUGCGCGAGCUGGGUGUGCGUGAGUGCUCUGGGACUCAAAGUGUUAAAGUGGCCUCUGCAAUGGCGAAAAACGGCUUAACCGCAGACUCAUCCUGUGUUGGCCUAGUUGUGUGCUUCUGUGUGUGUGUGUGUGUGUGUGUGUGUGUGUGUAAUUUUUUCUUCCUUUUCAAAUACUAUUCUCUUUCAUGAUCUCAUUUCCUAAAAUGUCUCCUUUCUGAUUCAGUGAGAGGGAUUCCAUGGUUCACCACCCGGCACAGGGUACUUCCUUCCAUCACAGAUACCAGAAAAGCACUGAAGAUCUCAAAGGUGGAAACGCAGAGCAUCAAAGCACCGAUCCGAAGGCCAGAGGCUUGAUUUGGAAAUCACACACCGGGCAGCCGCAAACCCCGCGUCCCGAUGCCUUUUCUUUUCUCUUGUCCUUUUGUUCCUAAUGCAAUGCAUUCUGACCCCAUCUCUUCCAUCCCACUGAGCCCGCAGCACCUUGAGCGGUUCAGUGGCCGUAAACUCCCCUGCCGACUCUGUUUUGGCUGGAAUCGCAACCCACAUAUGGGAGAAUCCUGCCGAAACAUCACAGAGCUAACAGCGCGCCUCCGUGCAGUGGUGGCCGGUCAGCAGAAAAAGGUGACAUCAUGGCUAUUCCAGGACUUCAGGUCCGCAGCACAAAGUGACUUCCCUGCUCUACAUCAGAGUCAGAACUUGGAUUCGAGACAAAAACAACCCUCCCUUCCCAUAAAUAUCUGCUUGGGGGCUCAAGACUAUUCGAAGCGCAACGGCUCAGAAAUGGUCCCUUUCCGUGGAGACCCGUCUGAUUUUCCAAAUCCAAUCACAAACUUUUUAAUAGCAUGUCAUGAACCUCUCAGCUCAUUAUUUCUCUUCAAAGCCCUCCGGUUUGCCAGCUUAGAGCCUGUCAAGUGUUGUUUGAUGAUGGACUACGCCAUAAAUAAACGCAUAGGACAUGCUAGAAAUCCACCCUUCACUACUUCUGGCUUUCCCGCCAGGAAUACUGCCAUAUAAUCAGGGAUGUGUGAUUUGUGGCAAUUGCUCUGGAUCGAGGGUUGUUUUUUUUUUUAACGUGUCCAGUGUGUAAUGUAGGUAAUAUAACAGAUUUAUCACCUUUACAUAAAUCCCAUUUGUUUUUCCCCUUCCUGUUCCUUCUACCCCCUCUCACGGUUAGGACGUUGGAGCAAAGAGUAGGAAUAUAGACAAACCCUCUGAAAUAGCAAUCACGGCCUUACCCCUUCCUUCCAGCAGGAAAUCAAGGCACUGGAUAAGUUACUACACCUCUAAUAUCCACUGUUCCCUCCGAUGUUUUUAAGUUGUGAGCAGACAACCAUUUUACAUGGGUAACUGGCCAUGAAGGUCAGCACCAGCAGGGAGGUUACUGUUGUAAUCAAAUAAAGCUCAUAGACGCU
rnacentral:lncRNA from 1 species